rnacentral:pre_miRNA from 1 species
ACCCCCUCAUGGCUGGGCUGGGUGAGUAUCUCUUCAAAAGGCUCACCCUCAAGCAUGACCAGGAGC